CGUAGGGGGGCAAGCGUUUGUCCGGAUCAUUGGGCGUAAAGCGCGUGUAGGCGGCCAGAUAAGUCCGCUGUGAAAUCUCGAGGCUCAACUUCGAGCUGUCGGUGGAAACUGUCUGGCUAGAGUCCGGAAGAGGAGAAUGGAAAUUCCUGGUGUAGCGGUGAAAUGCGCAGAUAUCAGGAAGAACACCCGUGGCGAAGGCGGUUCUCUGGGACGGUACUGACGCUGAGACGCGAAAGCGUGGGGAGCGAACAGGAUUAGAUACCCUGGUAGUCCACGCCGUAAACGAUGGGAACUAGGUGUGGGGGGUGUCGACUCCCUCCGUGCCGAAGCUAACGCAUUAAGUUCCCCGCCUGGGGAGUACGGCCGCAAGGCUA
rnacentral:rRNA from 1 species